GGUGAACGCUGGCGGCGUGCCUAAUACAUGCAAGUCGAGCGAACGGACGAUAAGCGUUCUUUUCUGAGGGUAGCGGCUGACGGGCGGGUGAGACGUGGAUAGCCUACCUAUAAGACGGGGAUGACUUCGGGAAGCCGCAGCUAAUACUGGAUAAUACGUUCUACCGCAUGGUUCAGAAGUGAUAGGCGGUCUUGCUGUCACUUUGAGAUGAUGUCGGAUUAGCUAGUUGGCGUGGUAAGGGACCACCAAGGCAACGAUGCGUAGCCGAUCUGAGAGGAUGAUCGGCCACACUGGAACUGAGACACGGUCCAGACUCCUACGGGAGGCAGCAGUAGGGAAUAUUGCGCAAUGGGCGCAAGCCUGACGCAGCCACGCCGCGUGAGUGAUGAAGGCCUUCGGAUCGUAAAGCUCUGUUAUUAGGGAAGAAAAGCUGUGUAAGAAACUGCGCCCAUUUUGACGGUACCCAAAGAGAAAGCCCCGGCUAACUACGUG
rnacentral:rRNA from 1 species